rnacentral:rRNA from 1 species
GACGAACGCUGGCGGCGUGCCUAAUACAUGCAAGUCGAACGAGAGCGACCGGUGCUUGCACUGGCCAAUCUAGUGGCGAACGGGUGAGUAACACGUGGGUAACCUGCCCAUCAGAGGGGGAUAACAUUCGGAAACGGAUGCUAAAACCGCAUAGGUCUUCGAACCGCAUGGUUUGAAGAGGAAAAGAGGCGCAAGCUUCUGCUGAUGGAUGGACCCGCGGUGCAUUAGCUAGUUGGUGAGGUAACGGCUCACCAAGGCCGGGAUGCAUAGCCGACCUGAGAGGGUGAUCGGCCACAUUGGGACUGAGACACGGCCCAAACUCCUACGGGAGGCAGCAGUAGGGAAUCUUCCGCAAUGGACGCAAGUCUGACGGAGCAACGCCGCGUGAGUGAAGAAGGUUUUCGGAUCGUAAAACUCUGUUGUUAGAGAAGAAUAAGUGCUAGAGUAACUGUUAGCGCCUUGACGGUAUCUAACCAGAAAGCCACGGCUAACUACGUG